rnacentral:rRNA from 1 species
ACGUAGGGUGCAAGCGUUAAUCGGAAUUACUGGGUGUAAAGCGUGCGCAGGCGGUUCGGAAAGAAAGGUGUGAAAUCCCAGGGCUUAACCUUGGAACUGCACUUUUAACUACCGGGCUAGAGUACGUCAGAGGGGGGUAGAAUUCCACGUGUAGCAGUGAAAUGCGUAGAGAUGUGGAGGAACACCGAUGGCGAAGGCAGCCCCCUGGGACAUGACUGACGCUCAGGUACGAAAGCGUGGGGAGCAAACAG